AAGAAAAGAGUCCCAUUGGUGGGAAAAGCAAUUUCUCAAAAUCCCAAAGUGAAUCUGCUCAUUUGGAGGAGUCAUGAUUCCAAGAAUCAUCAAAGUCCAGUGGCAAGACGAAAGUCAGGACAACUGAGGAUGGCCCGGGAUAUAGCGGAUGACCUUGGCAUCUUCCAAGUGUGACCAAGCUCUAAUGGUUUCACAAAACCUGCUUCAACCACCUUCAUAGCCUUUGGAACAAAUUGUUCUCUUCCACCCAUUCCACUGCGGGAAGCCUUCACAUGCUUGGGUUAGACAUUCCCCAGUUCACCUGCAGGUUGGAAGUCUGUUGGUUACCCUCAACCUUGUUUAGCCCAUCUGUUGAGAUGAUUUACCAGAGUGUGGCCGCUAUACAUGCUACUGCUUCUUGGAGCCACAGUUUUACAAAGAGCACCCCC